CUUAUGCAAAACGAGCCACGCGAAGGGGUAUGGUGCAUUUGGGCCGUUGGAUCAGGGAUAAGCACCCUAGAUUAGAUCUGUCCUCCAAUCUGAACCGCACACACCAUACACCGUUGAUUCUAGGAUCUGUGGUCACGAUUUUAAAUACUCCGAUCUACUCUUGUGCGUACGAUUCAGAUCUGACGGUCGACCUCCAACACUCGAAUCGAUAUUCUAGGUUUAGAUCUAGGCCACCCAUUCCUAGAUCAAUGGCCCGCACCUAUCUUCUUCUCCCUACCUAGAGCACGGCGGCGGCGCCACCGGCCACGACGGUAGCCCCACCGACGUUCGGCUAUUCAACGUUCUGGCGAGCAAUUCUAAAAUUAAACGACGCAUAAUGUAGCAGAGAGGGUGGCGAGCAAUAAAAGAGGGGUCACACAAUGAAUUGUCUCUCUGUUACCCCGAGCCACGGUGAGGCGCAUAACCACAGCGGCGAGCCAUGGCGAGAAAUUGUUGACGUCCCAAUGACCGACAUUAACCCAAACCCGGUAUACAUACUGUUGCAGAUGAGAUGAGCACGGGAUGGAACCCUUACCGUCGCUAGAGGCAACUAACGUGCCCGGCCACGGUGUGGGGGAGGUUUCAUGCGUCCGCCCUACUCUGACGAGCUGCGCAACGUUCCUCGAUACACCGAGACGAUGCCAAAGGCCACGAUUGAUUCAUAGUGGACCGGAGAACCCCAAAGCCAUGCUCCAGGAUCGAACAAUCACCUAGCCGAUGUACGCUCCGCGACGGUGCCCGCGUUCUUCCCCACGGAAAUUGGGUACGGCGAUUCUGUGAUUCCGAGCUAAUCCUAGGUGCGGUUCAAGCAGAGGGUUCUGCGACUCUGGUAUCUGUAGCCCGUGACACGAUCACCGCCAAAAUCGCGUCGACGGGUGCGACCAAAUCAGCCCAAGAGAUGCCCUUAGUAUCUCAAUGGAUUUCGUUGGAGACGAACCCGACAGGAGGGGCCCACUAGUCGGUGAGGCACCAGGGCG
rnacentral:lncRNA from 7 species